rnacentral:rRNA from 1 species
GACGAACGCUGGCGGCGUGCUUAACACAUGCAAGUCGAACGGAAAGGCCUGCUUUCCCUUGUGGAUUGCGGGUACUCGCGUGGCGAACGGGUGAGUAACACGUGAGUGAUCUGCCCCCAACUUGGGUAUAAGCCUGGGAAACUGGGUCUAAUUCCCGAUAGGACUGCAGGGUGGUGCCUGUGGUGGAAAACGAUUUUCUAGUGGUUGGGGAUGAGCUCGCGGCCUAUCAGCUUGUUGGUGGGGUAAUGGCCUACCAAGGCGGCGACGGGUAGCCGGCCUGAGAGGGUGGACGGCCACAUUGGGACUGAGAUACGGCCCAGACUCCUACGGGAGGCAGCAGUGGGGAAUAUUGCACAAUGGGCGGAAGCCUGAUGCAGCGACGCCGCGUGGGGGAUGACGGCCUUCGGGUUGUAAACUCCUUUCGACCGCGAGGAAGCCACCUGGUUGGAAGGGUGGUGACGGUAGUGGUAGAAGAAGCACCGGCUAACUGCGUG